UACGGGGGGAGCAAGCGUUGUUCGGAUUUACUGGGCGUAAAGGGCUCGUAGGCGGCCAACUAAGUCAGACGUGAAAUCCCCAGGCUCAACCUGGGAACUGCGUCUGAUACUGGAUGGCUUGAAUUCGGGAGAGGGAUGCAGAAUUCCAGGUGUAGCGGUGAAAUGCGUAGAUAUCUGGAGGAAUACCGGUGGCGAAGGCGGCAUCCUGGACCGACAUUGACGCUGAGGAGCGAAAGCUAGGGGAGCAAACGGG
rnacentral:rRNA from 1 species